UAAUUUACCUACAGGAUAUACUUGCAUAUUAUAAACUUACACACAUUUGUCGGAGUUAUACAAAUUAUAUAGAAAUUGCAAUUAGACCGCCUUAAAACUGUUAAUGAACUCAGUCCAGUUUAUGUUCCGAAUUUACCCUCUGAAUAAAGUAGUUACCUAUCUACUAUGUACUAUAUAUAUAUAAAUAUUAUCUAAAUAGCUGUGAUUAUACUUUAAAUCUCUGAGUUCGUUACGACAGCCAAAAGGUCGAAAUGCUUUCUCUGAGACGACGACCCGAAACUAUCCGUAUUAACAAAAGG